CCUACGGGAGGCAGCAGUGGGGAAUAUUGGACAAUGGGGGCAACCCUGAUCCAGCCAUGCCGCGUGUGUGAAGAAGGCCCUCGGGUUGUAAAGCACUUUCAGUGAGGAAGAACGCCUGGUGGUUAAUACCCAUCAGGAAAGACAUCACUCACAGAAGAAGCACCGGCUAACUCCGUGCCAGCAGCCGCGGUAAUACGGAGGGUGCGAGCGUUAAUCGGAAUUACUGGGCGUAAAGCGCGCGUAGUUGGCUUGAUAAGCCGGUUGUGAAAGCCCCGGGCUCAACCUGGGAACGGCAUCCGGAACUGUCAAGCUAGAGUGCAGGAGAGGAAGGUAGAAUUCCCGGUGUAGCGGUGAAAUGCGUAGAGAUCGGGAGGAAUACCAGUGGCGAAGGCGGCCUUCUGGACUGACACUGACACUGAGGUGCGAAAGCGUGGGUAGCAAACAGGAUUAGAUACCCCAGUAGUC
rnacentral:rRNA from 1 species